UACGAAGGGUGCAAGCGUUAAUCGGAAUUACUGGGCGUAAAGCGUGCGUAGGCGGUGAGUUAAGUCUGUCGUGAAAUCCCGGCUCAACCUGGGAAUGGCGAUGGAUACUGGCUCGCUAGAGUGUGAUAGAGGGAUGGUGGAAUUCCCGGUGUAGCGGUGAAAUGCGUAGAGAUCGGGAGGAACAUCAGUGGCGAAGGCGGCCAUCUGGAUCAACACUGACGCUGAGGCACGAAAGCGUGGGGAGCAAACAGG
rnacentral:rRNA from 1 species